rnacentral:lncRNA from 1 species
GAACACCUCCUUCAAGAAGGCGAUGGCAAUGGUAAUGAUGCCCCAACCAUCACAAGGACAAGGCCUUGCCCUCCCCCUGAUGAACGCCUAGGCUCCUCUGACUGUUACAUGUACAUACAAGACCAGCAGAUGAAGACAAAAGCAACGAUGGACAGUGGUGCUAUUGCUACUAUACCAAGUAUUAUAUGUGAUCAUGCUUACAUCAUGCAUGUGCAUGACAGCCUGUAC